CUGGCUCAGAUUGAACGCUGGCGGCAUGCUUUACACAUGCAAGUCGAACGGCAGCACGAGUACUUGUACUUGGUGGCGAGUGGCGAACGGGUGAGUAAUGCAUUGGAACGUACCGAGUAGUGGGGGAUAACUGUCCGAAAGGAUAGCUAAUACCGCAUACGACCUGAGGGUGAAAGCGGGGGACUUUUAGGAGCCUCGCGCUAUUUGAGCGGCCAAUGUCUGA
rnacentral:rRNA from 1 species